rnacentral:lncRNA from 1 species
AAGUUUCCAUUGUGGUGGCGUUCCAACUUUAUUCUUGCUGUAGCUUCUGGCACUUUAGCCAAAGCAUUCAUUCUCUUAGCUUGAGCCUACUAGCCUUGAGGUUGGGUUAUACCUUAAGUUUACUUCUAGUGCUUUCCUUCCAUUUAAGGGUUUCCUCUAUUUCUUUCAUUCCAUUUCCUUUUUCUUUACCUCCAUCUUGAG